CAAUGAGGGCACGAGAUCAGUUUGUGCCCAGAUGGAAGGCUGACAGGCAGUCAGCUGUGAUUUCAGGUGUUCAUGCUGCCGCCCGCCUCCUCCCCAUCCACCUUCUUUCAUCACAUCCAGUGCCAGGAGAGCUAAUCCAAAGACCUCAUCACACCUCCUCUUCAUCCCAUCUCCUCAUCAAAUCCAGAUCUUCAGCAUCAUCACCAGUGUAGACCCGGGGGGGUUCCCUAUAUGCUCACGGCUGCAUUUCCCCCUUUAGAUAUACCAUUUCAGGAUCGGGUCUAAUUGCCAAAGACUUAACAUUUAUCAUAUGGCAGGUGUCAAUAAAUGUUCAAACUAAAUGAAGUCUCUCCUGAUUGAAAUAUCAUGUGUUGAAAUAAACAACUGCAGUUCAAAAUAAAAAGGUGAAUUGCCUAA